UUAAAUUUGCUGUGCCAAAUUGGCGAAGUCACUCCGAGAAGUUUAAGACUUGCAAUGGGCUCAUCCUGGCUCCGAAAGGGGAGACCUUUCGGCCCAACUCUACUAAACAAGUGUUGACUGGGCUCAGGCCCGCGAGCCACCGGGAAAGCAGGAGCUAGUCGCGGCAUGGCGGCCGUGGGAUCAGAGCUUGGCUCCACGGCGACGGCGCCGCCGCCGCCGCCGCCGCCGAAGCGGCGAAAGAUCGAACCACAUAGGAGGUGGAAAACCUUUAUUUCGCUCAAGGAUGUUAAUCCAGUUCCAACCAUGGUCUGCAGCAUAAACAUAAAUGACAAACACAGUGUCUAUUUCUUGUUCUAUGGAUCCUCGGUGGAUAGCUGUGCCAUGCCAAAUAGUGUUAGGUUUCAAUGUUUCAUGGCAUUAACAGACUGAGUGGACCAGAAGGGCAUAUCUUAACUUGCCUGAAUUCACAAAAGGAAAACAUAGUGCAGUCUAAUUCAUGUUCUGUAGAUCCUUCUCAGACAGCUAUGAAGGCAAAUAGGGACAGGCCUUCUCAAGUUGCCCUAGAUAAGGACAAGUUGGCAGCAUCUUCGAAUUCAUCAGUUUCCGGUGCGCUGCCAGCGAGACUGGAUGUGAACAAAGCUGGAGAGGCAAAGAGAUUUGCUGUCCUUCAAGCGCAACACGAGGGAUGCCUUGGAAGCUAUGAACUUUGUAGCACGCUAAUGCAGCAAGUAGCUUGGAACUCAAAUCUCCCGGUGCAACGUUCCUGAAUCCCGAUCUGUGCUCUAAUUAUACUGAGCAAAAGCAGUCAACGAGGCUAGGCUGUACUUGCAUGUUACAGCUCGUGGCUUGACUUUCAAGUCAUUCAUUUUGCAAGUACAGUCUCCAUGGUUUAUUGCACGUACUAUCUCUAUUGUUUAUAGGUCUAGAAGUUUGCGUUCUAAACAAAUUUUAUAGAAUCCGAUUAAAAAAAAUCUUCUUCUAUGAUUACUA